rnacentral:lncRNA from 1 species
UCAGGGUGGGGGUGUGGGGAUGGGGAGGGGGGGGUCAGGGUGGGGCUGCGGGGGGGUCAGAGGGGAGGCUCCCGUCUGUUUUGUCCGUUUGUCCUGCGCUCACCGCAGCGUGGUCCACCACCAUCACCAGCUCCACAAAGCGCUGCUGGGCUGCGGCACGCCUGGCCUGGGGGGAAAAAAGGGGGUGGGGGGUCAUGGGGGAACCCAGUAGGGUGGGGGAUCAGUGGGGAGGGGGGGGGACCAGCUGGGGAUGGGAGCCCACCAGGGGGUGCCACCCCACUGUGCUGACAGAAGACGUUGUGGUGAUGGGACCCAGGGCAGGGAUGGGACCCCAGUAGGGUGAUGGGACCUGGGGGGGCAACGGGCACCCAGUGGGGUGAUGGGACCCCAAUGGGGUGAUGGGACCCCAAUGUGGCAAUGGGAUUUGGAGAGGCAGGACCCCAGUGUGACAAUGGGACCCCAAUGGGGCAAUGGGACCCAGUGGGGUGACAGGACCCCAACGGGACAAUGGGACCCUAAUGGGACAAAUGGGACCCAGUGGGGUGACAGGGCCCCAGUGAGGCAAUGGAACCCCAGUGGGGCAAUGGGACCCUAAUGGGGCAAAUGGGACCCCAACAGGGUGACAGGACCCCAACGGGGCAAUGGGACCCCAGGGCAGCAAUGGGACCCAGUGGGGUGAGAGGAUCCCAAUGUGGCAAUGGGACCCCAACAGGGUGACAGGACCCCAGUGGGGCAAUGGGACCCAGUGGGUGACAGGACCCCAACGUGACAAUGGGACCCCAAUAGGGCAAUGGGACCCCAAUGGGGUGACAGGACCCCAAUGGGGCAAUGGGACCCCAGUGGGACAACAGGACCCUAAUGGGGCAAAAGGGACCCCAACAGGGCAAUGGGACCCUAAUGGGGCAAAUGGGACCCCAACGGGGUGACAGGACCCCAACAAGGCAAUGGGACCCCAGGGCAGCAACGGGACCUCGGUGCCACUCACCCUGUGCACCGAUGGCGGCUCCGUCCCCACGUCAUCCCGGGGUCCCUCUGGGGGUCCCUGGGGGGGUCCCUGGGGGGGUCCCCGCCCGCAGUCCCGCGGUGCCACCCGCAGCUCCCGCAGCCGGUGGGCGACGUGCCGCCAGGGGGGGCCACCAGGGUCCGGCUCCAACCCGUAACUCCUGUCCUCCGCCAGCCGGAGGUGACCGCUGCAUGGGGACAGGGGGGGGGGGGGGGGGGGGGGGGGGGGGGGGGGGGGGGGGGGGGGGGGGGGGGGUCUCACCUGAGGCCGUUGCAGGCGCACAGAUUGGCCCAGGAAUGGGGGAAACCCCGCACGUGGCCUCGGUAGCAGCAGUGCUCCUAUGGGAUGGAGGGGUGUGGGGAGGGGUCCCCAAUUAGGGGGGGGGACGGGGGACAGACCCUAUGUGGGGUGGGGGGGUUGGGGUUUGAGGACAGUCCCCUGUAUGUUGUGGGGG